ensembl:lncRNA
AGGGAACCAGCAGAGCGCAGCUCUCCAGUCAAUUGGUUCCAAGCAUCUGGCAUAAUGGAAUGUGCAGUGGACAUUCCCUCAGGUGAGGACGAGGCCACGGAGAGGGAUGACCUCAACGCCAAGGAAGAGGGCGUUGACACCCCUCACAAGAAGAACAAGAAGCACAGGAAACACAAGAGCAAGAAGAAGAAGCGGCGCCGGAAAGGAGACAAGGAGAGCAGCUCUGAAUCUGGUGCAGAAUCUGAGGCGGAGCAGCCCCCCUCCCAGAGGGCGGUGAGGAACACCAGAGCCAGUGCCAGACUAGCAUCUACCACGGGGGCUGCAGAUCAAGUCGGGCCAAAGGAGGGCAGCAAAAAAGACGGCAUCACAGAAUCGGAGGUAGACGCAAAGACCAAAAAGCACAAAAAGCACGCUUCCAAAAAGAAGAAAAAGAAGAAGAAGAAGGACGAGAAGCAGGACCGCAGAUCCCCGUCCCACUCGGCGUCUGAGAGCAGCUCCGCGUCGGGCUCUGACUCGGAGCCGGACGAAGGCAAGGGGCCGCGCGAUGCGCCCGAGGCCGUGUCCAAGCUGCUGCCCAAGGGCAAGCGAGGGGCAGAGAAACUCGAAGCGCCUCACGCCAAGCAGGACGAGAGCACGGAGAACAACGUUUUCUCCUCCACAGGGAAGAACGGCAGCACCAACGGUUCGGUGCAGGUGAUGUCGCCCUCUGCUGGCCAGGACCAAGCCCACCCGGCUGGGGUUGACGUCAGAAUCGAGGGGAACCACGGUGAUGGCAGUUUCAGCCACGCGCUCCCCGACAUCAUACCUAAACAGGAAGGCACAGCGUCACAAGACGACCCUGCUCUAAAAGAUGAGGUCAACGUGAACCAAAGGGCCCCGGGGGCAGAGCGGGAGGGCUCCAGGUCCCCGUCCGCGUCCCCCCAGCGUGCCCCUGGGAUCAAACGCUCCGGGUCGAGUCACAGUCGGUCUUCCACGCCCAGCCCAAGGCGCCAGCAGACAAGGGCUCCAGCCGCCACAGACAAGGAUUCUAAAGAGCGCUCCCAAACGAGAUCGAGGUCCUCAUCGGAGGCCAACGGGUCCGUCUCACCGCCACAGACCAGGGAGCGCUCGCGCUCCACCUCCCACUCCCCCAAGUCUGAGAGGAAGUCUGCUUCUCUGUCUCCCAAAAGACCGCUCCGCCACACCGGCUCCCCGAAGAGAGACAGGAAGCUGUCCCGCUCCACGUCGCGCUCCCUGUCCCCCAAGAGAAAGAAGAAGGCCAAGUCCCCCAAGAGGUCCAAGCGCCAGUCGUUAUCCGCUUCUCCCAAGCGAAGGAGGAGGACGUUGUCGGCGUCACCCAAGCGGCGGCGCCCGAGCCCCCCGAGGAGGAAGCUCUCUCCUAAACGCGGGCUGCGUCGGUCCCCUUCCCCGCGUAGAAACCGGCGGUCCAAGUCCAGGUCCGCUGCCCGCCGCUCCAGGACGCGGUCUCCUCGGCGUACCGCCGUCGGCCGCCGCUCGCACUCUCGUUCGGUGGGCCGGACCCGGCGGCCCGCUAGGCGGUCCCGCACCCCGGUGAGGCGGGGGGGCGGCAGGCGCUCCGGGAGCCGCUCACCCGAGACCCGGCGGCGGAGGUCUCCGCUGCCACCGCCCUCUCGGACGCGGCGUUCCCGCUCAAGGUCCACGAGGCGUUCGAGGCGCACACGCUCACGCUCCGUCGUGGUGCUCAGACGCAAGCGCCGCACCAAGUCCCGGAGUCCCCGGAAAAAGAGUAAGUCCCGAACACCGCCUUCCCGCCGGCGUUCCAAGUCUAGGUCCCCUGGGGCCCGGAGGCGAUCGAACUCCCCCAGCAAGAGGAACCGCUCGCCGCCCAGGUCCUUGAAGCGCUCCAAGUCGCGCUCGUUGUCAAGGCGAUACAGGUCAAAGUCCCACACACCGGCCCCUGCCGGGAGGCAGUCCAAGUCCCCCAGUAAGAGCUUGAGGAGGUCGCUGUCUAAGUCCGCCUCGCCUGCCCCGAACCGCUCUCGGUCUGGCUCCAGUGAGAGGGCGUCUGGGAGCGCCUCCCCAGGGCAGGACAGGGAGCCCUCCCCCUCGCCGUCCAAGGCAGAGACGGCAGAGGACACUGAAGGAGCUGCAGACGCCGCGCCCGCAGCAGGCCCCUGGAAGCCCCUGCCCUUAUCCAACGCUGACCCCAGCGCCGCGCCCGCCGGCUCCGGGGCCUCUGGAGACUCCACAGGGGAGGAGGAGGAGGCGGAGGAGGUAGGGGCUGAGAAGGCAGCUUCUCCUCUAAAGCCCAAGCAGCCCUGGAGCUCCUCGGGCUCCGUCUCCCCCGUCCGGACGGAGAAGAAGCAGCACUCCCCGUCUCGCUCCCCCGCUGCCCCGCCCCACAGGAAGACGUCGCCCUCCCCCAGGCGCUCGUCCUCCAAGAGGAGGUCGGUGUCCAAGAGGAGGUCGGUGUCCAAGAGGAGGUCGGUGUCCAAGAGGAGGUCGGUGUCCAAGAGGAGGUCGGUGUCCAGGAGGAAGCAGUCCAGGUCCAAGUCUCCAGUCAAGAAGAAGGCGUCACCGCCCGAGCGCAAAAAGCGCCGCUCCAAGUCCCGGAGCCCCGCCCAUCGUCGGCGGGCCAGCCGCUCGCGCUCGGCUGCGCGCCGGCGGAAGUCCCGCUCCAAGUCCCGGGCCAGGACCCGCCGAUCCAAGUCCCGCUCCCCUGCACGCAAGAGGCGCAGCCGCUCCCCCGCCGGCCGUGCCCGCAAGCGAUCCAAGACCCCCAAGCGAUCCAAGAGCCGCUCGGCUGGACGGCGGAAGCGCUCACACUCGCGCUCCCCGAGCCGCCGCCGCCGCUCACGCUCCAGGGGGCGGGGCCGGCGGCCUGCAUUCCGUAGCCGCUCCUUCGACCGGCGGGACCGGUGGAAGAGAGAGCCCAGCCACUCCCCCGUGCUCAUCCUACGCAAGCAGCGUCGCUCCGGGUCCCGCUCACGCCGCAGCGGCAGCAAAACCCCGCCGCGGCUCACAGACCUGGAUAAGGACCAGCUGCUGGAGAUCGCCAAGGCCAACGCGGCUGCCAUGUGCGCCAAGGCUGGGGUGCCCAUCCCCGAGAGCCUGCGACCCAAAGCCAUCCUCCAGCUCCCGCUCCCCACGCCCUCCCCCACCCCGCUCUCCCUGCCCCUCCCCCUGCCCAUGCCCAUGGGCAUGGGGAUGGGCAUGGGCAACAUGGGGCAAAUGGGCAUGGGCAACAUGGGGCCAAUGGGCAUGGGCAGCAUGUCCAAUAUGACCAUGAGCGCCGCCAUGGCCAGCAUGACAGCGGCAACCAUGACGGCGGCCCUGUCCAACAUGGGUGCACUGGCCUCCAUGCCCCCCCUGGCCCCGCUGCCUACCAUCACCAACAAGCCCCCGCCCUGCCUGGCGCCGCCCGCACCCCCCCUCAACCUGGGCCACAUCGAGGAGGUGAAGAGGAAGGUGACCCAGCAGGCCAACAUACACACCAUCAAGGAGCUCACCGAGAAGUGCAAGAUGAUCGCCAACAGCAAGGAGGAGAUGGCCAUCGCUAAACCCCACGUCUCGGAUGAUGAGAGCUAGAGCAUCGUGUGUCCUCGCGGUGCCGGAGCUCCCUCUAAUGGACCGGAGUGGAUGUUCUGUGUUUUAUAGUUUGGACUUGAGGACUAACCUAUCCCACAGUUCGCCCGACUCCACCUCCUCUAUCAGUGACAAGAGCACCCUAGUUGUCAUGGUAACAGUAGAGGAGCAGCAGUCACACCUGGUUUAUUUGUGCGUGUGUGUGCGGUGCACGAGGGACCGGCGAGGAGACGCUGCAGUGACCCCACUGGGGACACAUUCCG